rnacentral:lncRNA from 1 species
GGAGGGGUGCCCAGGUCCUGCUGCUCAGCUGUGUUUUCUGCCUGACCACACCAGCCUGCUCAGGCAGACACAAACCUCCCAAUGAACCAAGGAAGCAGAGCUAAUGCACCCUGUGACCUGUGUGAAGAAGGCACUAGGGAAGCAGGAGACGGAAACAACAAAAAGAAGAAAAAGCCUCUCCUGCAGAGUGGUCUGAAGAAGACCUUGCUGAGCUGCCUGCCCCUCUUGCUGCUGAAGUGCUCCCUCCGUGCUGCCUCAGCUGCUGGAUGGCAACGGGAAGAAAUGAAAGACCAAAAGAGGUCCAGGAGUGACUUUAGGCUGUUCAUGACUGUGUGAGGCCACAGGCAGGCCCUGUGGGAUGCAGCGGGGUUUACAGGAGGGCUGGCUCCAUGAUGUCCCACAGCUGCUCCAGAGGGGAAUGGGGCAUCCACUCAUGUCCCCCUAAAUGCAUUAUCGCCUCAUGGAGGAUUACACAUUCCAAAUCAAAUUCACCACGUAAAUGGAUUUUGGUGAGGUAAUUCUCUUGUUUCUAAACAGACGGCAUAGGGAAAAGUGAUGAAAGUUGGCGCUUGCUUUCAAAUGCUAAUGUACUUAGCAACAAUAAAGUUUAAAAGCUGAGUUAUAAAGUGAAAACA